CUAGGAGUUGGAAUAGGAGCUUGC
rnacentral:piRNA from 3 species